AAGAGAAUUUUACACCACGUGGGAAUGGCGGUACAGGACUGCGAUCUGACGUCCUUGAAGGUGCCUCACCAAACUGAUGGUUCCUAGACCUAAAUAAAAAGAGAAUAGAGAAAUGGACGACCCAUCCAGCACCGUGGCAAAUUCAGAUGGCCCCAAAAGAGUGGAGAGGAGUAUGAGAAAAGGGAAGUCCAGACUGGACAGGCUUCGGACACCAUGUUUGCUUCCAUCUCAGUUGGCUUCUCAUCAUGAUCACGAGAUCAAUGCUUCUAUUACAACAAUCACAUGAAAAAAAAUCCAAUGUAAGAAGAGGCAUUAUUCUUCUGAUUUAGUCAGAGGGGAAAUGCCACCUGAGGUCUGAGCGCACAUGUGACAGAAAUCCUGGGAGAGAAGCACCGUCGUGAACUUGUUCUUGAAGGAAUUGAGGGGUCUGCAUAGGCCGAGAAAUUGGGAUUCGUGGCAGCAGGAGUGGCCAUGAUCCAGGGAUGAGUGCUAGCGAGCAAGAAAGAGGCAGAGCUGACCAGACUCCACAAGAGGAGGGUUGUAUUUAGGAUCCAUGAGAAAUAAGUACUUAAACAUAAGAAUGAGAAAUUGGGGGCUGGUCACAUAAUCUUGGAAUAAUUGGGAGGAGAUGCAUUUAUCUUUCUCCCAUACUCAGGAGUCGAGUGGCCUGGAUUUGUUUCAGGGGCUGUAACAAUUCAUUUUAGAUCGGCCGGGCCAUGGCACCCAGUCGUUUGUUCCAGCACCAGUUUAGAGGUGGUUUGUUCCGUGAGACUAGCAUUUAAGUCAGCAGAGUUUUGAGUAAAGCAGGUACCCUCUGUAAUGUUUGGGCCUCAUCCAAUCAGAUGAGGGCCUUAAGAGAGACUGGCUGAGGUUCCCCAAAUUCUGCCUCCAGGCUGCCUUUGCAUCGACCGCAGCAUCAGCUCUUCCCGGGGUCCAGCCUGUUGGCCUGUCUGCAGCUUUUGGACUUGCCAGCCUCCAUGAGCCAUUUC